GAGGAGCUGAUGGAUCAGACAUAUAGGAGGAGAUGAAAAGGAAGCAGGGCAGAGGUCAGCCCUCCAAAGUCCAGAUUCUGAAGCCAGAAACCCCUGGCUGGGUGACAUAGGGCCAAGUAACUCUAGCUUUCUGAGCCUAAAAUGCCUCCUCUGGUCAGGGGUGGAGAAGAGGAAGAGAGAAAGAAAGAGAGCUCAGCAGCCUCAGGGGCUCUCCCAGCAGGAUCUUCAAGCCUAGACUUCUGUUUGGAGAAGGACCACCUCAAGCAGCCCCAGCCUUCCUGAUCUCCCAACACCAGGGGUUGCCUAGGAGCCACGUGGAGCCCUACCAGGAAACCAACCGAAGCUUCCAGAGGUCAAGGACCUUGUCCCGCUCCUCUACGGGGUGGGUAACGCUGCUGUGUGACCUGGGCUCCGCAUAUAAAGUGAGGGACUUUGCUUGAGGGCCCCCAGCACCUCACACUCCAUCCCUGACUUUGGGUCUGCGGUUCCAGCUCCCAGGACUUUCCCACCUCCCGCCCCAGCGUGCUGUUUCUUAGGGCCCAGCUCCCUUGGGAACAGCCAGGCCCGUCCCCUCCCCCUCCCGGGCUGUGCUCCUGGCAGCUCUGCCGCCCUAGGCUCUGGUCCGGGGGUGGUCCCUGGCAGAGAGGGGGCUGGGCAGAAGAUGGGAUGCUGGCGCUGAGAUGCGGGGUAUUCGGAGACCCCCAGGCCCCCACCUCAGAGCCCGCUGUGCUCUAGGCUGGGGUGGGCAGGGCCUUUUGGAAAGGGGUGGCUUGGGGUUUUAAUCACUUUUUCAAUGUUUGUUUGUGUAAUUCAGCCCCGAAAUGCUUUUCCCUCCAUCUGUCCCACCAUCUGCUCCUGUCAGGAUUUUCCAAACCGUUUGGGACC
rnacentral:lncRNA from 1 species